rnacentral:tRNA from 1 species
GGCGGGGUAGUGCAGUGGUCAGCACGGUUGGCUCAUAACCAACAGGUCGGGGGUUCAAAUCCUCCCCCCGCUA